UGAUAGGUGGUAACAGUCAUUUCUCUGUCCCCGUCAGUGCAGCAGACCGACGGAGACGAGACGACGGAGUGUGUUGAAGCGGCCUAUAUGAACAACUACAAUCCCCGGUUCAGGUGGCGACUGGCGCGCUAACGGAGCUCCAGGAGGGAAAACCUUUGCGACGCUGAGGUUCGGCUGAUUUGCAAAGACAUCUGACAUUGCACAGCAACGAAUGAGAAUGUGUCUGCCCUUAUUUGUCCGUGACAGUGCAGAGAAGCUCUUCCUGAAAUGCCUGGACACUGAUCCGGAAGAAAAGCAGACUGCUGGUGUCAAGAUGGGAGUCCUCACUGUUCUCGUAGAUGAUGGUGGACCUACCCCGUCUCAAAUGGUCAACAGUAUUGCUGUUGUCUUGGAAGAGACAAUUGUACUCUCGGAUCUACCAGACAUCCCAACUGCAUUUGUCUACCUUUUUGGUCUACUCUAUGCCCUGAACAUUGAGUUUCCAAAAGAACACAAGUACACUUUUGAGACUGUUCAGCACAUCUUCAUGGGACUUUCCACCAGUUGCUCCCAGCGGGUCAGGAGUUUGAA